CGGAGCGGCGGCGCUGCUGCUCUUGACUUCUGAGCAGGGCUUAGAAAAUCUGCCCUGGCUUAAGCCGAGCUGCGGUUGUGGGCCCUGAGCGCCUAGUCCAUAGGCUCUGAGUCACAGACCUCGGAGACAAGGAGGCGUGGGGUGGGGGCGCUGGAGUGGCGGAGCCCCUGGCAAAGGCUCUCUGGGUCUCCAGCCUCGCAAUCCCCAUUCAGAGGAUCCCCGCUUCCGGCACGACAAGGUCAGAAUUUUCUUUUUCAAACUUGGCUUUGGGUUUUACGAGUCCACUCCGCACAGCCUGGAAGCGGGCCGACCCCAAAUGGAUCUCAACAGGUGGCUAGGAGACUACCUGAAGUUAACAAGGUCACGAGAAAACACUUCUGGAGGAUUCCAGCGCACAAGAUACCACUUCCAGUCACACGUGAAUUCGUGCACACAUACUCGGUACCCUGCACUCCGGAGGCCAGAGCCCCCAGAACCUCUGAGAAGAGAAGCACCCGGAACAUUCUGCAGCGAAGUGGCUGUAUGGGGGCCGUAGUGGAGAGCUCUAAGGAGACUUUUCCUCUUGCAUUCCACCUGGCCAGGCCAUAAUUCACCAGGAGAGGUCCCAAAGGUCCAGCUCUUCUCUGCCCAGAUGCUCUUCCCUCACAUUUCUGCAGUCAGCUCAAGUGGCGUCUUCUUCCAGAACCUUCCCUGAAGAACUGGUCUACCUUGUCCUGAAGUCACUCUGUUACAUCACUCUGAUGUCUCCGCAGCACUUCUCAUCCUCUGAAAUGACAUUUUCAGGCUUCCAUCCCCAUGCUGCCCUUGCCAUCCCUGAAGAACCAAAUCUGUAAACUUUCCGACUGGUCUUUGGUGCUCUGAUGUUUCAGAGGGAAGGAAAACACCUAUUAAAAAUGUUCGUUCCGGGCGGAUGGCUGCUUCCUGCAGCCUCCAGAGCCAGGGUAAUGAAUCUAGAAUCUCUGGUCGUUGCCCAAAUCUCAGAGGCUAGUAAUUAAAUUUCCGCUAACAGUUUGUUUUAUCACCUCAGUUAGCUUGUUGACAUAUAAUAGAUGCUGCUGAGAGGUACGUCUAGUUAAUGAUUUUCUUUUACAUAUUGAUAUUAGUACCUGGAGUGGGAACAUCUCCUCUUCAGAAUAUGAUUACUAUUUUGAAAUCUUGAGCGCAGGAGGGAAAUCCGUUUCUAUAAAUUAAACAAGAAGUUCUGAGAACUUCUAUCUUCCGUUCCCAUCCAGACACUAAUGCAUCUCAUUUACUUUGUGCUCUUUCCCUGAGUUAUCUGUGUCACACAGACGACUCUUGCAUGUCACGUUAACUAUCUAUUGAAAAAAAGCUCGAAGUGUGCUGGUAACAGCGCCCUGAGCCAGGAUGCGAGGUAGGGAGCAGAACAUGAAAAAUUCAUCACUGCUACAUUUCAAGUUGCUUGGAUGUUUUAAUUCGAAGAGGAAAGAACCUGUGUCAGCUAAAGAUGGUGCUAUAAUUAAACUGAUACGGCACUUGCAAUUGGCUCCAAACCUGCUCAAGUUGUCAUUUGUUUCUUUUCCCCAUCUUUAAACUACAUGAAAUCAAUUAUCUCU